GGCGUCAGAUGUGUAUAAGAGACAGGUGAGUCAUCGAAUCUUUGAACGCACAUUGCGCCCCCUGGUAUUCCGGGGGGCAUGCCUGUUCGAGCGUCAUUUCACCACUCAAGCCUCGCUUGGUAUUGGGCGUCGCGAGUCUCUCGCGCGCCUCAAAGUCUCCGGCUGAGCGGUUCGUCUCCCAGCGUUGUGGCAACUAUUUCGCAGUGGAGUUCGAGUCGUCGCGGCCGUUAAAUCUUUCAAAGGUUGACCUCGGAUCAGGUAGGGAUACCCGCUGAACUUAAGCAUAUCAAUAAGCGGAGG
rnacentral:misc_RNA from 1 species